rnacentral:rRNA from 1 species
CCGCCCGUCACACCAUGGGAGUCAGUUGCUCUAGAAGUCGGUCGCGCCAACCUCGUGAGGCACGCCGCCUAAAGAGUGACUGGUGACUGGGGUG